rnacentral:lncRNA from 1 species
UACAUAAAUUCAGCUAAGAUGUUUACAAUGAAUAUUGGCAAGCUGUAUUUAUAUUAGAGGAAAACUGAACAUAUGUUGUUAAAGAACCACACCAGCUACAAAAAUUGCAACCCUAUAGUUUUUUUCUUUUUUGAUUUAAUCUCAUCGCAAUACUGAUGACAACACUGGGACCAGAGAGGUGAGGUGAACUUGUCAAGGACCUCACACAGCAAAAAUUGGCCUGACAGGAGCCCCUCACAUUUGGAGGAUUCUUUCCGCACCAACAGUGAGUCCUAGACCUGCCUGUGCAUCUAGCUCCUGGGCUCAUCCAAAGAAUCCUGUACCUCUGAAUGGGUGGUUCUGAGCAGGGGCCUGAGAUUCUGUCUUUCACCUGUGUCCCAGGCUCAAGCCGUGAGAUUGCAAUGGUAAUGGUGCUGGGGCUCCAUUCAGCCUCUCCUGAUGCUCCUCUCUCCACCAGCCACCACUUUCUGCUCCCCACUGAAGAACUGGAGUCUUGUUGCAGAAGAAGGCAUGAUGACCAAGGGCUGAGAUCCUCUAGGAAUGAGAAUCUGGGUCACGCAAAGAAGUAUGCCGCUGAGAUCACCAACCUGGUUAACUAAAGUUGAUAGGCAUCUUUUUCUUCUAACGUUGCACCAAAAGAAGAGGUCCACUGGAGUCCUACAGGAGUUGUUCACAGAACUCAUACAAAGAAAGCAGAUCCGAUGACCCAAGGGAUGGGCUGUAGUGAUCAUUGUUAUAAGCCAC